rnacentral:rRNA from 1 species
AUUGAACGCUGGCGGCAGGCUUAACACAUGCAAGUCGAGCGGGGUGAUGGUGCUUGCACUAUCACUUAGCGGCGGACGGGUGAGUAAUGCUUAGGAAUCUGCCUAUUAGUGGGGGACAACAUCUCGAAAGGGAUGCUAAUACUGCAUACGUCCUACGGGAGAAAGCAGGGGAUCACUUGUGACAUUGCGCUAAUAGGUGAGCCUAAGUCGGAUUAGCUAGUUGGUGGGGUAAAGGCCUACCAAGGCGACGAUCUGUAGCGGGUCUGAGAGGAUGAUCCGCCACACUGGGACUGAGACACGGCCCAGACUCCUACGGGAGGCAGCAGUGGGGAAUAUUGGACAAUGGGGGGAACCCUGAUCCAGCCAUGCCGCGUGUGUGAAGAAGGCCUUAUGGUUGUAAAGCACUUUAAGCGAGGAGGAGGCUCUUUUGGUUAAUACCCAAGAUGAGUGGACGUUACUCACAGAAUAAGCACCGGCUAACUCUGUGCCAGCAGCCGCGGUAA